ACUUUAACUUUGGAGGGAGGGUAAAACCUGCCUUCGAAAUUCACAAACUCUUGUUUUUAAAUUAUGAAUGUUUAUCUGCCGCAAGGCAAAAUUUAAUACAACUUUUAACAACGGAUCUCUUGGCUCUCGCAUCGAUGAAGAACGCAGCGAAAUGCGAUAAGUAAUGUGAAUUGCAGAAUUCAGUGAAUCAUCGAAUCUUUGAACGCACCUUGCGCUCCCUGGUAUUCCGGGGAGCACGCCUGUUCGAGUGUCAUGAAACUCUCAAACAAAGUAGAUUUGUUUCUACCUCUGUUUGGAUUUGGACUCUGCUGCGUCAAUGCGGCUGGUCUUAAAUAUAUUAGCUGAUCCUAGCGAAGGUUUGGUUCUACUCAGCAUGAUAAUUAUCUGAUGUUGAGGACAGUCUUAGGACUGGCCAGGCUCUCUAUGGAUUGCUUCUAAUCGUCUUUGGACAAUCAUUCAAUAUCUGACCUCGAAUCAGGUGGGACUACCCGCUGAACUUAAGCAUAUC
rnacentral:rRNA from 1 species